GCCCGAGUGGUGGAAUUGGCAGACACGAUGGACUCAAAAUCCAUUGCUCUUGUGGGCGUGCGGGUUCGAGUCCCGCCUCGGGCACCC
rnacentral:tRNA from 2 species